AAUUUUUUCUGAGGAACAAAACAAAUUCUUAGCAAUUAGCAUAGCCCUUAAAAAAUAUCAAGAAUAAGGCCAUUCUCUGCACGUCCACUGUGUACCAACUCAUAUCAUAUUUUCGUUCGGCACGGAACCAUGGUUCUAUUGGUUCCCGCCUUGGAGCAUGCAUCCAAGAAUUUGAAUGCGGCCAUCUUGGCCCCGAGAAGCAUCGCAACGUGGCCGGGAAAGGGAAAAGAAGUGCUAAAAGAGGGAAAAAAUUAGGAAAAGAGAGAGAAAAGAAUGGAUCCCACUCCAUACCGGGUAUCUGUUCUCUACCUUCUGAAUUCUCCUGAGCCGGCACGGCGACAUCGAAAAAUCUAUGCUGCGCCCGUCUUCUCUUCCACCAAACCCCCAAAGAUAUAAAGCAAAGAAAGACAGCGACGACAGCGACGACGCCGACGACACGGACGCCUUUCUAGGGUUUUUCUAGGGUUUCCCCUUCGACUUGGGCGAUUCCAGCGGGGAGCCCAGCCCAAUGGAUUCUUGAGCCUCCCCGCCUCGUUUCUAGGGCUUCCGAGGGCGCGGCGGGAGGAGGACGACGAGGAGGAGAUCGGAGAUGCAGAAGAAGGCGUGGAUAAGGGCGGGGGACAGAGGGGCCCUCGCAACCGGCCACUGUGCCGUCGUCGAGGGCCGGAUCCUGCGGUGCUCGUCCGCGCACCCCGACCAGCAGAAACGCCAGCAGGGGGCUACAGCACCAGCCGCAGAUCGGGACGGUGGCGCACCUUCUGGCUGGACGCGUUGCCGGAACGGUCAGCAAGACCUGCACGGCCCCACUAGCUUGCCUUACGAUUCUAUUUCAGGAUCACUGUCUAAUUGUAAAUCCCAGCAACCUAAAGUGGCAAUCAGGCGGGAGUCUGAGACUUGAAGGUGCAUAAUUAAUUGGAUCCAAGAGUAACUGUGCUUCUUAAUUUAAGGAAACCGAUUGGUGGCUAUCAGCGAAUAAGGAAGAUGAAAGGGUUUUGGAUUCUGUGCAAUAAAAUUACAGCGAGGUAGACGGUGUAUGGAAAACCAUUCAAAACCCUGACUCGUAUGUAGAGGCUCCUAGGUGAUCACUUUAUAAGAAGAAAAAAAUAUUCAUAUCUCGGAUCAGUGGGUAGCUAUUCAUGCCAGGUUUACUUCUACCUUGUUGUUCAUUUAUUAGAUAUAUAUUAAUAUUCUGUUGAUGUUCAUUACUUUCAUAUUAAUCAAAUUUGAGAAGAUAUUGGCAAGCACUUCUCUGAGUAUGGGCCAGAAUUUUUAUUAUGCAGCUUUGACCACCUAUUGUAGCUUCUUCAUCCAAAAUGUCGUGAGUAGUCAGCAAAGUGAAAGUAUAUUUAUAGAUGGAUGUUGUGUCACUCACUAAUUGAGAGUGAUGCUAGUUCCUAAGUUUCCCGUAUGAUAAAUAUCAAGGAACAUGGUUUAGGCUCCUUUGAGUUAGUAUUUAGAGGGUUUAGGGCUAAUCUUUUCAAGAAAAGACAUUAUGUUUUUCUCUGAAAUAAAAUGUCGAAGAGCAUCUGCAUGUUUAGGCACACAGCUCUCUCUGUGUCUAGAUCAUGUGAGACGUAAUCCUUAACAAGGUCAAUAAUGCAUUUUGCUAAACUAUGAGUUUCUUUUUUCCCCCUUUCUGAGCAUACUUGACCUGGGCUGAGUGUUUGGUUGCAAUUUUUAAACUUUGAAACGCUUGCUUUCUUUCUCUUUUCAUUUUUUUUUCUUGUCCUACAACUUUAUUUUGGUGGGAUGGUAGGAAGCUUCCGUGGUCUCAGAGUCUGUUACCUUCUCAGAGACAUCAUGUAGUGGAUAUCAAAUUGAAAUUGAGUCCAAGAAUUUAAUAAUUAUGUACGUCACCUAUCCCCAUUAGGAUUCCGUGAGUAUAUAUCGUAUUGUACCAAUGUAGUGUUCUUUUUAGUGUAAGACUUAUUAUGGUGGUGGCUAAGACUUAACUGUAAGUUGACUGUUUGUCUAUGCUAGCCAGAUUCUUUAGUGUAGCCUAUAGUAUGUGAAACUUAGACAUUGACAUUGGCAUGAUACUGGGACAAGGACUUGUAAUAUAAAAUUCUUAGAUAUUGAAAGGAUUUGAAUGUUAGAAUCUAUGUAAUAGUGAAAUUGAUCAUAAGUACCUCAUGUGAUGAUUUUUUUCCCCACAGGAGUCUUGGUUUAAGGCUUUUCAGUUGCUGCUAAACUGGGAACAUUCUAUUCUCUGAGGUGGUCAGGCCACUUUUUCUUCCUUAUUUUCUUCACUUUCCUACUGUUUCUUCCUUAUUUCUUCACUUUUCUGUCCAUUCUUCUACCAUUAUUUGUCCAUAUGGUUGGUGUCACGGAGAGGAUCCGUCUUUCUGGCUUCCAUUAUACACGUCUUCUCUUAAUUCAUCAACUAGUUUGAUGGUAUCAUAUUUCUUUAGGUGCAAGGCAUGCAUUCCGAUGUCACAGCUCUAAGCAAGGCUGGCAUAUGUAAGGAGGCUUCACACAUUGUUUACAAAGAAGGGUUUAGAGCAUUUUGGAAAGGAAAUUUGGUCACUAUUGCUCAUCAGCUACCAUAUUCCUUGAUAAGCUUCUAUGCUUAUGAAUGCUACAAACAUGUACAACAGCUGCAUCUAUCACAUAACAAUUGGACCUCGUGAGGAUGCAUCUUGCAGCUCUGGUGAUUGGACCAUUAUUAUGCCACAUCAUGAUUCAUGUAGUAGAAUGCCUGUCUAUUAACCUCAACUUCAGCUGUUGUAUUUGAAAUUUUGAAUUCUUAAUUUUUCCUGUCUAAGUUGUAUUUAAGAGAGAAGAUUUGCAUGAUGGCCUCUCUCCGAGGCUUCAAAUUCAAGACCUUUUUAGUUAACCAUUCCUAGUAUCUGUCUUUGCAAAAUCUUAAAGAUUAUUUCAUUUUGAAGCAGUCUGUUUGCUAAUGUGCUUAUGCUCUUUUCCAUAAGAAUUUGUAGUGUAGAUAUUACUUGGCCCUGAUAAUAAUUGUCCAACCAUUGAAGUAGCCGCCAUAUGGACAAACUAUUCUGAGAGCUGCAGUUUUACUAUAGUUGUUAGUUUUCCUUUGUUACCUUCAUGGAGCAGUUACAUUCAUAUUGACAUUUUUGACUAUUUGUUCUGCAGAUAGGCUUACAGAAAUGUGUAUUUGUUUGAAUGAUGGAAAUGCCUCGUACAUCGAGUUUUCCAUUUGUUUAAUAAGCUACACUGUAUAUUCUAUAAAUUGUCACAAUUGCUUUACGUGCUUAGGCCCUGUUUGGUAUGAUUUUUCCCUUUUUUUAAAAGAAAAGGAUCAUGGAAAUUGAUGCAGGAAACAUGUUUGGCAACCAUCUUUCUAUUUUUUUAAGAACUUUCAUUUUUUUGAAAAAACUGGAAGUGAGAAAUUUUCACUUCCAUUUUUUUUUGAAGUAUGUUAAUGCCUCCGAACUCCCCUCUUCGUCUCCUUUCCACCCUAAACUCAUCCCGACCCCACCUCCGCCUCGACCCUCCACGCAAAUCCAGCCUAUGGUAAGUCCUCUCUUUUACCUCUCUCUCCCCCCCCUCCCCCUCUCUCUACUUUCCUCUAUUAUGAUCGAGGUCGGGGGCAGAGGAGGGGGAGGCAGCAGAGGGUGGCGGAGGAGGAGGAGGUGGGGGGCAGAGAAGGAGGAGAAGAUGGGGGCAACUAGUGUUAAAAAAAUAGUGAUGCCAACCAUAAUAUGUAUUUUCAGAAAUAUGAAAAAAAUGGAAAUGGAUUUCUUGUUUCCAUUUUUUUUAAGAAAAAAAAAGUGAAAAUGAUGCCAAUUUCAGCCUCAUCUUUUCUCUCUUUUUGUUGAUCAUGUUGGAACUAAGUUCAAUUGAUAGUUUAAAAAUCAUUACUUUGUCUAGGUUACAAUAAUUUGAUGCAUUUCAACAUGUUUGUGUUAUUUUUGAGUCGGCUCUUUUGACAUUUUUUUUUUCCACUUUUCUUUUGACUCUAUAAAUAAGAGCCGCCCAACCAUGUUGAUUGAAUGUUUGAGUACUCAAAGCCUCUCGUGAGUCUGGAUACAAAGUAUCUUCAGUCCUUUCCACAACUUCUAAAUUUCUUUCCCAUCAGCCUAUUCUAUUCAAUCUAAUUCCAGACAGAGUCAGUAGACUUAUUGCUUUUUGAAUUCAUUCUUCUAGCUGUGAAAAUUUUGAUUUUUUGUUUUUGUUCUUGUAAUAACAAAUAUGAUAUUCUGAUGGUUUGACCCCCAGCUAUAUGCAUGACUGAUAGUUGAAGUGGUGGAAACCUUUUGGCUGCAAACUUGCAUGUGCAAUAUCUUUGGUAAUUCAUUCCCAUUGAUUGUGGGUAAUUGUGAUGGAUCAUUCUUUGCCAUUCAUUUGUUUUGUUGUAACAUUUUUAUUCAUUAUAAAUUGCAUAAAAUCCUCUGUUAUAUCUUUACUCUGGUUUCCUUAGGUCUUCCCUUGAUGAAGACUUGAACUCCUAUGAUUUGGGCUUUCUUUUGGUCAUUCCUGCACAUGCUGUCCCAAUUAGUAACAAAAACUAUGUAUUACAGAGGCAUUUCACAUGCACUUUAUGCCAUCUGCAGAGACGAGGGUAUCAGCGGGUUGUAUAAAGGUCUUGGAGGGACUUUGUUGGUAAGCUUUUCAGGUUAAUUCCAAUUGAGGUCAUGAUUCUUAAAACUUUCAUUGUGUUUCCAUUGGCCACUGAUAAAAUGUAGGGUGUUGGACCUAGCAUAGCAAUCAGCCUCUCUGUCUAUGAAACCUUGCGAUCUCAUUGGCAAUUACAAGGGCCACAUGAUUCUGCUGUAUUUGUUAGCUGGGCUUGUGGAAGUCUUUUCAGCAUGGCUUCGUCAACAGUUAUAUUUCCCAUUAGAUCUAGUGAGGCGGCAAAUGCAGUUGCCAGGGGCAGCUGGAGAGGCUUGUGUUCGCAACUCGGGCCUGUUUGGAACGUUUAGGCAUCUAAUCCAUAUGGAAGGAUUUCGAGAAUUGUACAGAGAUAUCUUGCCUGAGCACUAAAUUUGGCAUUAAAUUCACGACUUAUGAGAUGCCGAAGUCAUGCCCCUCUGGUGCACUUUCUGAUGACUAGCACUGAGAUCUUUCAGUAGCACUGCUUUGGCCUCUGCUAUUGAUGAACAUUGUUAUGUUCUUGUUGGAGAUAAAGGUAGAAGAGUUUGUAAAGUCUCAACUGGUGACUUAUGAACAAGUUCGGAGCGAUGAUAGCAUUUUCUGAAAUCAUGGCUGGAAACCUGUGUCAAAAAUGAAAAUAUGUCUGGAAAGCUUUGAUACUGUAGGUAGGUACCCCCUUUGAUAUGCUGAAUAUUGCCAAUUGGGAUAAUCGUUCAGACAAUCUAAUGAAGCUGAUGCUACUGCUUGGAUAUAUUGGAAACACUCUGCUGGUUACGAAUCAGAGGAUUCUUUGUAAUAUUAUUAGCAUUUUAUCUCUUGCCGUUGCGGGUUACCGUUUAGCCUGCUUUGGUACAAAUGCGCUUCAAGACAUAAUAAUUCACUCAGAUGAACAUUUCUCGUGUCCAGUUCUAUCUUUUACCUCUAGUUGCACCCCCAUUUCCUCAAAGUUAUCUUUAGGGAACUGGAGCACGUAAAAGCAGCAUCCUCGUUUUUCUAGUCUAUAGCUCAGAUUGUUUAAAUUUGUAUGAAGCCUCGGCCGUCAAAGAGUUUGCUUGCGUAAGAAUGCGCUAGGAUCUCUGCUAUCUGUCGUGGAAAGCCAUGCACUGGUUCGUUCUUAAUAAAUGCCGUGCACUUUUUCUUCCAUGUAGCAGCCCAUUUGAUCUUGCUUCUGUUUCUUGUUUUUGCUUUAUAAAAUCCAAGAAAAAUAUACUA